UCGCCGGGACGACCCGACGACGUUGGUAAACCAUCAGGGGACGACCCCA
rnacentral:ncRNA from 1 species